AGUGUAUUUGACAAGCUGAGCU
rnacentral:miRNA from 1 species